rnacentral:rRNA from 1 species
UACGAAGGGGGCUGGCGUUGCUCGGAAUCACUGGGCGUAAAGCGCACGUAGGCGGACUCUUAAGUCGGUGGUGAAAUCUUGGAGCUCAACUCCAGAACUGCCUUCGAUACUGAGAGUCUCGAGUCCGGGAGAGGUGAGUGGAACUGCGAGUGUAGAGGUGAAAUUCGUAGAUAUUCGCAAGAACACCAGUGGCGAAGGCGGCUCACUGGCCCGGUACUGACGCUGAGGUGCGAAAGCGUGGGGAGCAAACAGG